UACGGAGGGGGCUAGCGUUGUUCGGAAUUACUGGGCGUAAAGCGCGCGUAGGCGGCUUUGUAAGUUAGAGGUGAAAGCCCGGAGCUCAACUCCGGAACUGCCUUUAAGACUGCAUCGCUAGAAUUGUGGAGAGGUGAGUGGAAUUCCGAGUGUAGAGGUGAAAUUCGUAGAUAUUCGGAAGAACACCAGUGGCGAAGGCGACUCGCUGGACAAGUAUUGACGCUGAGGUGCGAAAGCGUGGGGAGCAAACAGG
rnacentral:rRNA from 1 species